rnacentral:rRNA from 1 species
GAUGGACGCUGGCGGCGUGCCUAAUACAUGCAAGUCGAGCGAACAGAUAAGGAGCUUGCUCCUUUGACGUUAGCGGCGGACGGGUGAGUAACACGUGGGUAACCUACCUAUAAGACUGGAAUAACUCCGGGAAACCGGGGCUAAUGCCGGAUAACAUUUAGAACCGCAUGGUUCUAAAGUGAAAGAUGGUUUUGCUAUCACUUAUAGAUGGACCCGCGCCGUAUUAGCUAGUUGGUAAGGUAACGGCUUACCAAGGCAACGAUACGUAGCCGACCGGAGAGGGUGAUCGGCCACACUGGAGCUGAGACGCGGUCCAGACUCCUACGGGAGGCAGCAGUAGGGAAUCUGCCGCAAUGGGCGAAAGCCUGACGGAGCAACGCCGCGUGAGUGAUGAAGGUCUUCGGAUCGUAAAACUCUGUUAUUAGGGAAGAACAAAUGUGUAAGUAACUGUGCACGUCUUGACGGUACCUAAUCAGAAAGCCACGGCUAACUACGUG